UACAGAGGUGCCAAGCGUUAGGCGGAAUCACUGGGCUUAAAGCGCGUGUAGGCGGGUCGUUAAGUGUCCGCGUGAAAUCCCACGGCUCAACCGUGGAACUGCCGGGCAUACUGGCGAUCUUGAGGCAUUCAGGGGCGAGCGGAACAAAUGGUGGAGCGGUGAAAUGCGUAGAUAUCAUUUGGAACGCCAAUGGUGAAAACAGCUCGCUGGGAAUGAUCUGACGCUGAGACGCGAAAGCCAGGGGAGCGAAUGGG
rnacentral:rRNA from 1 species